rnacentral:rRNA from 1 species
UGGGGGAUAUUGCGCAAUGGGCGAAAGCCUGACGCAGCGACGCCGCGUGGGUGAUGAAGGCCUUCGGGUCGUAAAGCCCUGUCGAGGGGAAAGAAUCGAUUACGGCCUAAUACGUCGUGAUCCUGACGGUACCCCUAAAGGAAGCACCGGCUAACUCCGUGCCAGCAGCCGCGGUAAUACGGAGGGUGCGAGCGUUGUUCGGAAUCACUGGGCGUAAAGCGCGUGUAGGCGGCCCACUAAGUCUGAUGUGAAAGCCCGGGGCUCACCCCCGGAAGUGCAUUGGAAACUGGUGGACUCGAGUCCCGGAGAGGAGAGUGGAAUUCCUGGUGUAGCGGUGAAAUGCGUAGAUAUCAGGAGGAACACCGGUGGCGAAGGCGGCUCUCUGGACGGUGACUGACGCUGAGACGCGAAAGCGUGGGGAGCAAACAGGAUUAGAUACCCUGGUAGUCCACGCCGUAAACGAUGAGCACUAGGUGUCGCGGGUAUUGACCCCUGCGGUGCCGACGCUAACGCAUUAAGUGCUCCGCCUGGGGAAUACGGCCGCAAGGUUAA